GAACAGCAUAAUAUUGUGGGAGGAGUCAUUUGGUGGGUUUUGAGUGAAAUCCAAUCCCUAGAACUAUACAAUACACCAACCACCCCAUUUCAGAACGAACUUCGUACGAACCUGAAUUGUCCGAUUUCAAGGACCAAUCGGUAUCGGAUUGAGUCCAAAACUGGGGGAACAUCAUAAUAUUGUGGGAGGAGUCAUUUGGUGGGUUUUAAGUGAAAUCCAAUCUCUAGAACUAUACAAUACACCAACC
rnacentral:lncRNA from 1 species